GAAAUUAGAGAAGCAAAAUAUGAAGAAAAGAAGAGAGAGCGUGAAAAAAUGCAUCAAGAUAACAUGGAGGUACAGAAAUCACUACUUGCCGUCCUGCAGAAUUUUGCAAAUAAAAAAAAUACGCAAACCAACCUGGGCGAGGCUGGAUUAAGAUGCGCGAAAAAUGUGCCUGAUAGAGUCAUAUUUAAAUGCACAGGGUAUUACUUAUUAAUUCUCGCCCACUAAAUAGAUAGCGUUAUUUCUUAUCAAAAAUAAGUUGAAAAGUCCUGAAUAAUUUUAAAUAAAAUAAUAAUUUGAAUAAUUUUUAAUAAUUUUAUAAACCCGGCGCUGUUUGAUCGUACUUUACUCAAUAAUUACUAGUUCAUUAAGUGUAAAAAUUCUUUAGGACUUUUCAACUUAUUUUUGGUAAGGAAUAACGCUAUGUACUUAGUGGACGAGAAUUGUACGCUUUUGAGAAGACUGAAAUAAAAAGUUAUUAAAUUCGUUA